CUCUCUCUAAAUUACAAAAUUAAUAUAAUAAUAAAGAUAUCUUGUUUAUUAAUUUAAUUUAAUUAUCUACCGGGAGAUAAUUAUAUUAUAGUCACAUUAAAUUAAUAACUUUAAAUAAUUAAAUUAAAAACGAGAUUUUGCUUACUUAACAAAAUAGAGGGUGUUACAACAACCAUCUUCUGGAUAAUCUUCUUAAUGUUCU
rnacentral:lncRNA from 1 species